AUCAUGCUUACUGAGGUCCUACUAAUCAUGCUUACUGAGGUCCUACUAAUCAUGCUUACUGAGGUCCUACUAAUCAUGCUUACUGGGGUCCUACUAAUCAUGCUUCUCCUGCUUUUGUUUUCUUCUGGGGAAUGAGGCCUGUGUUCACUCUGCUCUUUCUAAGCUGUGGAGAGAAAGGGAGAAAAAGGCUUGCAGACCCAACCUCCAAUACCACAGAAGUCUUUGGUCCCAGUCAAAGCUCUUUGGAGAGGCUCAUCUUUGCAACCCGGACCCUAGGAAAAAGCCUUUGGAAGUCGUGAUUCUGGAAGCUGUCCAAGGUGAUAGCCAGGAAGCCACAUUGGCCUUGGCCAGUGGUUAGGGAGGAAUCUUCAGUCCCUCCCAGGAUCUGUGACUGUCAUUACUGCUGACAUGAGCUGACUUCAUCGCCCUGCUGGGCCACCAACAGCUCUGCUUCGGACUUACCAAAUCUAGACCCAGCAUGCAGGACCAGUCUCUUCCAGCAGCCCCCAGCAAGGGCGCCAUGGCGGCCACCUACUUUGCUCUGAACAGGACCCCACAGGCACCGAGGCUAGAGCCUGUGCUCUCAUCUAGCUUGGCCCAACGCAGAGGCAUGAAGAGACUCACGUCUACCAGGUUGUAGUGGCCAGCCAAGUCUCCAGCCUCAGUCGCCCUGCCCAACGUCCUCUCAGCCUCACAGACGCCAGACACAGGUCCUGUUCAUGGGCACUUGAGUGCCCAUGAGUCCAGCACAAAGAUGGAUCUGGCCUUGGCUAUCUCUCUGUUUCCUUUGCAGCCCUAGAAAGGGUCCUGCCCAGGAUGUCUGAGCCUUGCUGCGCCGACCUCUCCGCCCGCUCUCUCUCUCCUCCUGAGUGAAACCAAAUGAAUCUGUCACCUCAUAGCACCCUGCUGGGGCCUCCCUGGGCUCACUCAGGGCUCUCAGUGUCUCCAUGUCAUGGCUUAUGCCCAAAGCAGAGCUCUUUUACCAUCCUGAUGUCACCUACGUGUCCCACUGUCUCUCUGAGAGUGUUAGUGCACAGUCCCUGCCUGGAGACAGCAGAGCCACUUUCGAAGAGCUGGAUGUUUCUGGAUGUUCUGGCAAUGCCAGUGGCCCUGUGAAAGCAUCCAGCUUAGAUGCCUGACUCUGUCCACAAUCACCCAAAGAGUGCCUCUCACCACCCUCCUGCUCUCAAGCAAGAUGCUGGGUAGCUUCUCCCUGACUCUGUCACUGACUUGGCAGGAUGAAAGCAACCAACCCAAGAGUCUAGAUGGGUAGAGUCUAUUUGAGAGCGUGAUUUCUGUUGGUUGAGACAGGAGCCCCAGGAAAUUGCCGGGCAGAGCCAGUACCCACUACACUGCUGCCCCCUUAACCCUGUGGCCCCAGGGACACUGGAGAGAGUGGGGCUCUGCCAUUGCUGGGUGUGUUGGCAUCUCUGCUCAUAUUUGCCUGCUGUGGUAUAGCAUAUUCACUCUCUCUCUGCUUUCCUGGGCCACAGAGAAUGUCUUCUCCUCUACCCCUCUAUCCCUUCUUGACUGAGGACAGGAGAGACACCUGAGCCCCUUGCCUUAGACAGGCAGAAGGUGCCUGGACAAGUUGUCAGUGGGAGUGAUGCUCUUCUUAGAAGCUGUGGUCCUAUGUUGCAUCUUGUGUUUCUGUUGUCUAACCUGUUUUCAGGCUGUAGUCUGCGCAGGGAGCAGUAGUUACACGGACCAGGCUAUCUGUGGCAUACUCUUCAUGCAGAGUAACCGAGUGAGACCCUUCCCCCGUGGCGUGCUCCACUCCUCCUGGUCGGAGAGGAGGGACUUGUGUGUCCUGAAGUCUCUCUGGAGGCUGCUGAGGAUAGUGGACUCAGGUCAGAAGACACUCCACUGUGGCUCAGAACCUGCCAGUCUGAGAAGCAGCCCCUCUGCCCAGUAGAGGCACCUGUAGGAGGCGCCUGUUGGCCACAGCAGGCUUACACUAGGAAGACCACAGGUGGACCACGGCUGCUUCUGCAAUGCCUGCCCCAGUGGAAUGUUCAGAACAUAAUUCCUUUGCUCAGUCUAAUUAUUUCAGACCUCAAAACGUAAACGUAUUUCUGAAGCUUUAAUUACUCCACUGGACUCUGUUCUGUUUGAGAAUUAUAAAAUACAGAGUGGGGAUAGACUGUGUGCCAUUUCCAGUGUCCCUGGGGAUGGUCUCCUGCUUUCUCAGUGAAUGCUCUGCCCAAGGCUGAGAUCAUCUCCCAGUUAAUGUUCUGGGCCUGAAUCCUUCCGAUUCUUGAUAGAAAUCCAGAGGGAAAGUAUAGUGGGUAGUCUUAGUGACAGAUUCUGUCCUCUGGGAAAUGAACAGGAGCUCUGGCACCCUCCGAGGGCCUCUCUGGCAUGCACCCUUGCUCCAGCUGCUCACGGCUCAGGCUGGGUUUGCUUGCAGCUUCAAGUGUACAUGUUCUAAUGAAAAGAAAGAACAACAGAACACAGAAGGCAUGGCUGAGGAGGCGAGCAUAACCUGUCCCCUUCAUGGUCAUGUGGCCGCAUCACCUCUUUCAGUAAUGUGAGGUUACCUGCUUUACACUCAGCCUACUCUCGCCAAAGGGAUGGAGGAGACCAUCAGUCAAACCAAACGCAUCCUCUGGAUGUGUCUGGAAGGAUGCUCAGCCUUGCCCUGCAGAGAGUGGAGUACCCCACAUUCCCACCUCACCCAGUACUUGAUACUUGAAAUCUCUUGUGGAGUCAGUCAGAGGAGCACGUGACAGGAUCGUUUUAAUCCCUGUUCUUUAAAGUCUUCAGUGCCACAGCAGUCUGCUGUGGCAUGUAACCCCGUGUCCCCGGUGUUUACCUGGCCUGUGACCCUUUACCCAACACGAGGAAAGGCUCUGUAUUCUCUACACAAAUGACUACUUGUGUAGCUACAGAAUUUGUCAUGGGAAAGCCCAGCCUACAUCCUGGAACUCCUUUACCCAUCCCCAGAGCUACUUUUGGGCUAUCCCACUGCAGCUCCUGCCCUGUUUGGGCUGAGAACAUGAUGAGCGCUCCACUGAAGGAGGUGGGGAUGGGGUGCUUGUCAGAUUCUGUACCCCAGAGUCAAUGGCAGGCAAGCCGUGAACGUCCCCUGUCCUAUGGUUGGAACGUGUGUGAUUUUGAACUACCUGUGUGCACUGGUCUUUGGAUAUUGUUUGGCUUUUUAAGUGAGGAUCGUCCUGAUGGUAUCUAAUGUCAGCAGUAUUCCUGAUUAAAUGGUGUUCUUCCUUAAGAUGCCCGUUGGGAUUUCCCCUGCAUUGUACCGCUUCUCUCAAGCAUAGGAGGAGAUACACCGUGACUCUUCAUUCUCUCUGGCACAUUUUGCUGCCCUUCACCACCCGCAAGACUGUGAGACACCUGGAGUGGGAAAGGUCUCUGGGGUCCCUCUGUGGCAGGGACAGGUGGAAGGGGAAGCCAGCAUGGCUCGUCUGUGCAGGUGAAAGGCACCACCCCACUCCCAGCCUGCGCUGCGUUUACAUGAUCAGCAGUUCCGUUUACAGCUCACUCCAUGUUCACACUUUCUGGCUGUGUGUUGAGACGGCGGCCACUGUACAGAUAUUUAUUAUGCUUUCCAAACUUUCCCAUGAGAUUUUUUGAAUAAACAUGGAUUUUAUGAAGUGUAA